rnacentral:rRNA from 1 species
GAUGAACGCUGGCGGCGUGCCUAAUACAUGCAAGUCGAGCGAACAGAUGAGGAGCUUGCUCCUCUGACGUUAGCGGCGGACGGGUGAGUAACACGUGGAUAACCUACCUAUAAGACCGGGAUAACUUCGGGAAACCGGAGCUAAUACCGGAUAAUAUAUUGAACCGCAUGGUUCAAUAGUGAAAGACGGUUUUGCUGUCACUUAUAGAUGGAUCCGCGCCGCAUUAGCUAGUUGGUAAGGUAACGGCUUACUAAGGCAACGAUGCGUAGCCGACCUGAGAGGGUGAUCGGCCACACUGGAACUGAGACACGGUCCAGACUCCUACGGGAGGCAGCAGUAGGGAAUCUUCCGCAAUGGGCGAAAGCCUGACGGAGCAACGCCGCGUGAGUGAUGAAGGUCUUCGGAUCGUAAAACUCUGUUAUUAGGGAAGAACAAAUGUGUAAGUAACUAUGCACGUCUUGACGGUACCUAAUCAGAAAGCCACGGCUAACUACGU